CUGCAAGUCGAACGGAAAGGUCUCUUCGGAGAUACUCAAGUGGCGGACGGGUGAGUAACACGUAGGAAUCUGCCCCAGAGUGGGGGACAACCAAAGGAAACCUUGGCUAAUACCCCAUAUGGCGUGAGCUGAAAGUUUUUUCGCUCUGGGAGGAGCCUGCGCUUGAUUAGCUAGUUGGUGAGGUAAUAGCUCACCAAGGCGACGAUCAAUAGCUGGUCUGAGAAGAUGACCAGCCACAAUGGGACUGAGAUACGGCCCAUACUCCUACGGGAGGCAGCAGUGGGGAAUUUUGCGCAAUGGACGAAAGUCUGACGCAGCAAUACCGUGUGUGGGAUGACGCCUCGUGGGGUGUAAACCACUGUCAGAAUGGAAAAAUUUGAUUGUACAUUCAAAGGAAGCACCGGCUAAUUCCGUGCCAGCAGCCGCGGUAAUACGGAAGGUGCAAGCGUUGUCCGGAUUUAUUGGGCGUAAAGAGUUUGUAGGCGGUUUUGUAAGUCUGAAGUGAAAUAUUGGAGCUC
rnacentral:rRNA from 1 species